rnacentral:lncRNA from 1 species
CCGUGCUGCCACCCUCGCGUUUCGCCGCUGCUGUUUCUCCCGACACCGGCCACUGCUUCCCCGACGUAGACUUGCGGCUGUUCGAAGACUCGGCCGAAUCAAAGCCCUACAUCGCGAAAUCGACCGAAAUAGGUAUGAGCUCAGUCGUCGUUUGCCACCGUACGCCAUCACUGCCCCUGUCACCGCCGCUCGGAGGCUUCGCCCCUCUCUCGAAACCCUAAUCGU